AAAGUUUAUUCAUGCUUGCUUUGGCAGCACACUGAAACAGAGAAGAUUAGCAUGGCCCCUGCGCAAGGAUGACAGGCAAAUUGGUCAAGUGUUCCAUAUUUUA